rnacentral:lncRNA from 7 species
AUUCCUCUCUGUCCUAGUGCUGAAGUUUGCAUGUACACAGAGAAUGAAGUGCCUGCUUCUCCCUCCAGAGGCACAGAGCAGGUUGCACCUGGCUCUCAGUCAACAUUCCAGUGGAAUUGUCACCUUGGAUUGUGUUCCCAUGCACUUAUUACAGGGCAUUAAGGAAGGAGUGUCUGCAGUCUUCUAGAGCAAGCAAGCGGAAAGAGAAGCACAAGGGCAAGACAAACAACUGUGGGCUAAACAUCAUCAAGGACACUCUUUGGAGUACAGGAAACAAAGCCUGGGGUAGAUGAUGAGAGGAGACAGCGAGGUCUUCAGCUUUGGAGGAGACUGGUUAAACACUGAUGGGGAAUCACACAAAUGGAGCUGAUCCCUCUGUGGUGUGGCAGAAGCAGGCUAGAUGGCCUCCUGGAGUACCAUUCAGCCCUGUGAGCUAAAAUUCACUGAGCUGCUAAAACAACACUAGGAAAUGGAUGAGUUCAAAACUGUUUUAAAAAUGAGCCCAUACCACUUCAAAGACACUACUGCUUCACAACCCUUUUUCAUGCCUGCCUGGAAACACUGGGCAGUUGUCCUGUGGGGAGAUGAGGCUGUACGAGACCACUUGAAAGCAUCCCCAGAAAGCAAAGUUUAAUGCUUGCAGUUCAGUGACAGCAAUAAAAAGUUUUUUGUG